rnacentral:rRNA from 1 species
UACGUAGGUGGCGAACGUUAUCCGGAAUUACUGGGCGUAAAGGGUCCGCAGGCGGGUCGCCAAGUCCGGCGUGAAAGCUCCCGGCUCAACUGGGAGAGGGCGUUGGAAACUGGCGGUCUUGAAUCUCAGAGAGGUCGGUGGAAUUCCCGGUGUAGUGGUGGAAUGCGUAGAGAUCUGCAAGAACACCCGUGGCGAAGGCGGCCAGCUGGGCCGGAUCCGACGCUGAGGCGCGAAAGCGUGGGGAGCAAACAGG